rnacentral:lncRNA from 1 species
CUCAAUACAAAUCAAUACACUCAAAACACUCCUGACGAAAAUCAAUUUGCUGCAAAUCUUUCGAUUGCUCAAAUCUCUCGACGAAAUCUCUCGAUUCAUUGGUUUUUUGGUCUGCUCAAUCUCUCUAUUGCUCCUCAUCUCUCGAUUCAAUAUCAAUCUCUCAAUAUCUCAUCUUGAUUUCUCCAGGUCUGCUGCAAAUACUAAUAUUCAUUGGUUCUACAUCAAUUCACUGCUCAAAUAAUGGAUUGAGACAUCCCUGGGGGAUUAUUCAGUUGUUGGGUUGUAUUAAUUUGUUGGGUUUGCUGCAAAACUAGGGUUCAUAAAAACAGCGGUUUCUUAAAUUUCUGGUAUGUAUACAUUAAAUCUGAAACCGCCUAGAUUUAUGUUUUAGAUGAUUAUUGUAUACAAUAUAUGACCCUGUUCUUUUCUAUUUAUGUUGCUUUAAUUUUGUGAUUAUAUGACCCUGUUCUUUUGUGAAUAUGUAUUUUCGCUUACUGUUUGAUCUAAUUUUUUUUUUUUGAAUAUAGCACUUCAGUUUAUUAUGGUCCUUUUAUUUAAUCCAUUCGGCUUGAACUGACCUGGUGCCUAAAUUGACAUGGGCACCACUAAAAAAUGCAGCUUCAGCCAUUACAGUAGAAUGAGAUUGCUUCCCAAUUGUGUACAUUAUAAUGACGGAACCACGGACAAAAAUUUGAUCUAUUAGUAUUUUUCUGAUCUUGUAUUUGUAUACUCAUGAUUUGUUAGGAGGGAGGUUUAUACUUUACUACCGUCUUUUAGUCUUGUAUAAAUCAGUCAUUUCUAAUAUGCUUUCAAAUUAGACUAUAUCACUAAGCUUCCUUCCUUCAAGCUUUAUUUGUUUUAUGGACUUGAUAUAAUAUCGUAUUGGUCCCAUGCAAUCCUGCUUUCGGUUACCCUCAGAUAAUGCAGGUUUUGCAGGACAUGUCUGGACAGAGCCUUCAAGUGCUAAAAGGUUCUACUUGAGCAAACUAGCCAUCUUUUCUAUGGCUGCACUAGUAUUUAUGAUGGCUUGAAUAUGUAAUGUCUCCGGUUUACAAGGGAAUAGUAUAAGCUAUGAUCUAUUUAUAAAAGGCAUAAUGUAUUGAUUUAAUGCUUUUAUUUGGAGCAUAAUAAAUAACUGUAAUAUUGCUUCUCAUAUUUGUGAACUAAUUAAUAUUACUUACC